AAGAUUUUAAGUUAAAAAAACUAUUUACCUUCAAAGUAAAAAUUAUUAAAAAUAAAUCUUA
rnacentral:tRNA from 1 species